UUCAGACUUGUUGAGGUACCAUUUGCAUUGAAGAAUUAAGGGCCCGUGUCCACCAAAGCAAUUUUUACCAGCUGAAAACGCCACCUGCUCUUCUGAAAACACCUAGCUGGGAGCACUUGAAGGAAAACGCUCCCUUGGAGGGCAAAAAAGAAGUUAUUUUCCGCUGCCCACCAACCAGGAAGCAAGUGAUACACUGUUACUUCAACUUUGUUACUUUUGCGAUGCCAAAACGCUUGAUGGUGGUUGUGCUUUCGGAUGCACUAAUCGACAAGGAGACAAGCCUGAGCUGUGUUAGGUGAGGGAUUCCCUACAAGGUAAACGUAUAACAUUACCACAGUCGAGCACUUACAGGGACCUGGGGGGGGGGGGUUUAACGGCGGAAAUAUGGCAGCAGGUGCUGUAUAUGGAUCGCAAGUGUCCUACACUUGCUGUUUGUUUCCAUUUCUAUCUUUUUCUUGAGUUGAGUGAUCCAAAUAAAAUUUGACUGCUUUUGCGGUGUCUCUA